UACGUAGGGUGCAAGCGUUAAUCGGAAUUACUGGGCGUAAAGCGUGCGCAGGCGGUUGGGCAAGACAGAUGUGAAAUCCCCGGGCUUAACCUGGGAAUGGCAUUUGUGACUGCCCGGCUAGAGUGUGUCAGAGGGGGGUAGAAUUCCACGUGUAGCAGUGAAAUGCGUAGAGAUGUGGAGGAAUACCGAUGGCGAAGGCAGCCCCCUGGGAUAACACUGACGCUCAUGCACGAAAGCGUGGGGAGCAAACAGG
rnacentral:rRNA from 1 species